UCGGGUAGCAACCAACCAAAUGGAAGAAAUGUCUGCUUCUGUCCCAGAGGCCGAGGGGUCACCGGGCCCCCACUUCUCCAUGCACACCCUCCCCUGCAUAGGGGUAAGGGUGCUUCACAUGCAACCAACCUUAUACCUGCCUGUUUGAGUCACCCAGAGCUCAGAGUUGGCUUAAUAAGGAGGUGCCCUGGCGCCAUCCGCAUUUUGUCUCCUGAGACUAAGGCUCAGCCAUAUAACCUUUACCCGUGCCAGCUACUCAUACUGAGCCCCAGUAACUCCUGGCCAGAUAGGGCUAUCCUCAGCACAGGGUCACACAGAGCAAGGCUUUCCUGGGACAGGCGGGCCUGGGAUCCCAGCCGGGCUGCCAGAGGGAAAGGAGCCCCAGGCUUGGCCAUUGUCAUCUCUCCCUGGAAAACUGUGCCAGCCCCGAGUGGUUUAUUCAACAAAUAGUUAUAAAUCUUCGCCGAUGUGCUAGGAACUAACGGUUUUGCAGGAGCUAACAAUUUAGAGAGACACAGCAAGAGAGGAAACACAAGCACAGGGAGAGGGAGAAGCAGGCUUCCCGCCGAGCAGGGAGCCCGAUGCGGGACUCGAUCCCGGGACUCGAUCCCGGGACUCCAGGAUCAUGACCUGAGCCGAAGGCAGACGCUCAACGACUGAGCCACCCAGGCGCCCCAAAACCGGGUAGAUGAAAGCACUCCAGCACACAGGUGAACUCGGCUCGCGCACCAGCAAACGUGGACGCCCCGUCCGCUUCGGCUUUCUUCGGGUCACUGGCGCCCUCUCCCGGAAAGAUCCAGAAGUGCGCCGGCGCGGGCGAGAAACGCAGCCAGGGGCCUGCGGGCGGCGAAAGCUGGUGCCUUGGCGGCCUCUCGCGGACCAUCUGGGAACUGCAGCUGGAGCUGCGCGUGCGCUGGAAGAGCAUUUCUGUGUCUCGUAUGUGGAUGUGUGUCUGCCUCCUUGUACACAGCGGGCGACCAAUCUAGAAAUCUCCGCCCUCAGCCCUUGCUCUUAUCAGGGCAUUAGCUACCCUUUCCCCCACUAUCUCAUCCUCUUUGUUCUUCCUUGCUGUGUGACAGCGCCCUCUGAGACCUCAUUACCUCAUCCAUAAGAGCAGAUCUUGAGGGCGCCUGGGUGGCUCAGUUGGUUAAACGUCUGUCUUUGGCUCAGAUCAUGAUCCCAGGGUCCUGGGUUCCAGUCCCACAUCGGGCUCUUCGCUCCCCCUGCUUGUGUUCUCUUUCUCUGGCAAAUAAAUAAAAUCUUUAAAAAAAGAAAAACAA